UACAAGACAGGUGGUGCAUGGUUGUCGUCAGCUCGUGUCGUGAGAUGUUGGGUUAGUCCGCAACGAGCGCAACCCUUGCUAUUUAGUUGCUAACAGGUAGAGCUGAGCACUCUAAUGGGACUGCCCGUGACAAGCGGGAGGAAGGUGGGGAUGACGUCAAAUCAUCAUGCCCUUUAUGAUCUGGGCUACACACGUGCUACAAUGGAUGGUACAGAGAGCAGCGAGGCCGCGAGGUGGAGCGAAUCUCAAAAAGCCAUUCUCAGUUCGGAUUGCAGUCUGCAACUCGACUGCAUGAAGUCGGAAUCGCUAGUAAUCGCGGAUCAGCAUGCCGCGGUGAAUACGUUCCCGGGCCUU
rnacentral:rRNA from 1 species